rnacentral:rRNA from 1 species
CUACCCUUGACAUGUCUGGAAUCCCGAAGAGAUUUGGGAGUGCUCGCAAGAGAACCGGAACACAGGUGCUGCAUGGCUGUCGUCAGCUCGUGUCGUGAGAUGUUGGGUUAAGUCCCGCAACGAGCGCAACCCUUGUCAUUAGUUGCUACGAAAGGGCACUCUAAUGAGACUGCCGGUGACAAACCGGAGGAAGGUGGGGAUGACGUCAAGUCCUCAUGGCCCUUAUGGGUAGGGCUUCACACGUCAUACAAUGGUCGGGACAGAGGGUUGCCAAACCGCGAGGUGGAGCUAAUCUCAGAAACCCGAUCGUAGUCCGGAUUGUAGUCUGCAACUCGACUACAUGAAGUCGGAAUCGCUAGUAAUCGCGGAUCAGAAUGUCGCGGUGAAUACGUUCCCGGGCCUUGUACA